AGUAUGCGAAUUGCAGAUCAGUGAGUCAUCGAAUCUUUGAACGCACAUUGCGCCUCUCGGUAUUCCGGGAGGCACGCCUGUUCGAGCGCCAUUACAAACUCCAAGCAGUGCUUGAUGUUGGUCGGUGUGUCUUGGGGAAAGUCUUCUUUUCGGAGGAGAGUUUUUUGAGAGACACAGGACUGGAACGCGUUGGCGCCGCCGCCAGACCACGAGCGUAGCAAGACGAGAGUCAAGAAAUCGCCUCGGGUUGGAUCUGACGGACGGUGGCCUGGUUUAUGUAUAUUGUUCAUGGACGGAUUUAUCAAUGAUUUUAUCUAUGGUUUAUCGUUUGAUGUAUCCAGAUGAAUAGCAUACACACGCACAGUUUGGCCUCGGAUCAGGCGGGGAUACCCGCUGAACUUAAGCAUAUCAAUAAGCGGAGGAAAAGAAACCAACCGGGAUUGCCCCAGUAACGGCGAGUGAAGCGGCAACAGCUCAAAUUUGAAAUCUGGAGUCUUUGUUGGCUUCCGAGUUGUAAUUUGCAGAGGGAGCCUCGGAGGGCUGGUCGGUCCAAGUGCCUUGGAACAGGAUACCGCAGAGGGUGAGAGUCCCGUAUCCGGCCGACGCAGUGCUCCGUGUGAGGCCUCUUCGACGAGUCGAGUUGUUUGGGAAUGCAGCUCUAAGUGGGUGGUAAAUUCCAUCUAAAGCUAAAUACUGGCCAGAGACCGAUAGCGAACAAGUAGAGUGAUCGAAAGAUGAAAAGCACUUUGAAAAGAGAGUUAAACAGUACGUGAAAUUGUUGAAAGGGAAGCGCAUGGGGGCAGACUUGGACGCGGGGUUCAGGGUCUCCUUUGUGGAGGCGUGUACUUCCCCGCGGACAGGCCAGCAUCGGUUCUGGGGGCCGGACAAAGGCGACGGGAACGUGGCUCUCUUCGGGGAGUGUUAUAGCCCGACGUGCAAUGCGGCCACCUGGGACCGAGGACCGCGCUUCGGCAAGGAUGCUGGCGUAAGGCCUCAUGCGGCCCGUCU
rnacentral:rRNA from 1 species